GGGGAAUAUUGCACAAUGGGCGCAAGCCUGAUGCAGCGACGCCGCGUGAGGGAUGGAGGCCUUCGGGUUGUAAACCUCUUUUGUUAGGGAGCAAGGCACUUUGUGUUGAGUGUACCUUUCGAAUAAGCACCGGCUAACUACGUGCCAGCAGCCGCGGUAAUACGUAGGGUGCAAGCAUUAUCCGGAAUUAUUGGGCGUAAAGGGCUCGUAGGCGGUUCGUCGCGUCCGGUGUGAAAGUCCAUCGCUUAACGGUGGAUCCGCGCCGGGUACGGGCGGGCUUGAGUGCGGUAGGGGAGACUGGAAUUCCCGGUGUAACGGUGGAAUGUGUAGAUAUCGGGAAGAACACCAAUGGCGAAGGCAGGUCUCUGGGCCGUUACUGACGCUGAGGAGCGAAAGCGUGGGGAGCGAACAGGAUUAGAUACCCUGGUAGUCCACGCCGUAAACGGUGGAUGCUGGAUGUGGGGCCCGUUCCACGGGUUCCGUGUCGGAGCUAACGCGUUAAGCAUCCCGCCUGGGGAGUACGGCCGCAAGGCUAAAACUCAAAGAAAUUGACGGGGGCCCGCACAAGCGGCGGAGCAUGCGGAUUAAUUCGAUGCAACGCGAAGAACCUUACCUGGGCUUGACAUGUUCCCGACGAUCCCAGAGAUGGGGUUUCCCUUCGGGGCGGGUUCACAGGUGGUGCAUGGUCGUCGUCAGCUCGUGUCGUGAGAUGUUGGGUUAAGUCCCGCAACGAGCGCAACCCUCGCCCCGUGUUGCCAGCGGAUUAUGCCGGGAACUCACGGGGGACCGCCGGGGUUAACUCGGAGGAAGGUGGGGAUGACGUCAGAUCAUCAUGCCCCUUACGUCCAGGGCUUCACGCAUGCUACAAUGGCCGGUACAACGGGAUGCGACAGUGCGAGCUGGAGCGGAUCCCUGAAAACCGGUCUCAGUUCGGAUCGCAGUCUGCAACUCGACUGCGUGAAGGCGGAGUCGCUAGUAAUCGCGAAUCAGCAACGUCGCGGUGAAUGCGUUCCC
rnacentral:rRNA from 1 species